AACGAACGCUGGCGGCAUGCCUAACACAUGCAAGUCGAACGAGACCUUCGGGUCUAGUGGCGCACGGGUGCGUAACGCGGGGGAACCUGCCCUUAGGUUCGGAAUAACUCCCCGAAAGGGGUGCUAAUACCGGUUAAUGUCUUCGGACCAAAGAUUUAUCGCCUUUGGAUGGGCCCGCGUUGGAUUAGCUAGUUGGUAGGGUAAAAGCCUACCAAGGCGACGAUCCAUAGCUGGUCUGAGAGGAUGAUCAGCCACACUGGGACUGAGACACGGCCCAGACUCCUACGGGAGGCAGCAGUGGGGAAUAUUGGACAAUGGGCGAAAGCCUGAUCCAGCAAUGCCGCGUGAGUGAUGAAGGCCUUAGGGUUGUAAAGCUCUUUUACCCGGGAUGAUAAUGACAGUACCGGGAGAAUAAGCACCGGCUAACUCCGUG
rnacentral:rRNA from 1 species